rnacentral:rRNA from 1 species
GAGACUCUGUGCGCGUGCAUAUCAAUAAGCGGAGGAAAAGAAACUAACAAGGAUUCCCUUAGUAACGGCGAGUGAAGCGGGAAGAGCUCAAAUUUGAAAUCUUCAAGGUUCUACCUUGACGAAUUGUAGUUUAAAGAAGUGUUUUCUGUUAGAUGAGUAGCAAAAGUUCCUUGGAAUGGGACAUCAUAGAGGGUGAGAAUCCCGUAUUUGGUUAUUCAUUCUAGCUUUGUGAUACACUUUCAAAGAGUCGGAUUGUUUGGGAAUGCAGUCCAAAAUGGGUGGUAAAUUUCAUCUAAAGCUAAAUAUUGGCGAGAGACCGAUAGCGAACAAGUACCGUGAGGGAAAGAUGAAAAGAACUUUGAAAAGAGAGUUAAACAGUACGUGAAAUUGUCAAAAGGGAAGCGUUUGACACCAGUGUUGUUUUUCCGAAAAUCAAUUACGAAUGGCUUGAUUUUGUGUUGUAUUGACCUUAUCAGCUUUCUUCACUUUUUUCGAGUCUUUCUUAAUGCACUUUUCGGUUAACAAGUCAACAUCAAUUUCUUUUGUUGUAAAAGAGUAUUCGGAAGGUGGCUUUCUUUUCGGAGAAAGUGUUUAUAGCCCUAUACUUCUACAAUCGGAGAGAUUGAGGUCUGCAGCGUAGAUCCUUCGGGGUUAGAUACAUUUGUGCUAAGUUGUAGCUUUUCAUAGACAACUUGUUGACUAUGUCUAGUCAUGCGGCUUACUCGCUUAUGCUAUUUUACCUACGCUUAGGAUGUUGACUGAUAUGUAGUCGUA